AAACCGGAGCUAAUACCCCAUAAGCCCUUCGGGGAAAGUUUUUCGCCAUUAGAUGAGCCCGCGUUAGAUUAGCUAGUUGGUAGGGUAAUGGCCUACCAAGGCGACGAUCUAUAGCUGGUCUGAGAGGAUGAUCAGCCACACUGGGACUGAGACACGGCCCAGACUCCUACGGGAGGCAGCAGUGGGGAAUAUUGCACAAUGGGCGCAAGUGAUGCAGCCAUGCCGCGUGUGUGAUGAAGGCCUUAGGGUUGUAAAACACUUUCAUCGGUGAAGAUAAUGACGGUAGCCGAAGAAGAAGCCCCGGCUAACUCCGUGCCAGCAGCCGCGGUAAUACGGAGGGGGCAAGCGUUGUUCGGAAUUACUGGGCGUAAAGCGCACGUAGGCGGACUGGUCAGUUGGGGGUGAAAUCCCGAGGCUUAACCUCGGAACUGCCUUCAAUACUGCCAGUCUUGAGAUCGGAAGAGGUGAGUGGAAUUCCUAGUGUAGAGGUGAAAUUCGUAGGUAUUAGGAAGAACACCAGUGGCGAA
rnacentral:rRNA from 1 species